rnacentral:lncRNA from 1 species
UCCCCGUGCAGGCCACACACCUGGCAUUCUCCACAAACUGCCCUGGGACACCCUAAGGACAGCCCUGAGGCGAGACCAGCAUGCCUGCACCUGUUCACCUCUGAUGAGGAGCCCGGACCGUGGCUGAGACAGGAAGCAGUCCUGCCAGAAGGUGGAGUGGUGGCUGGCCCUCCCCUCCUAAGGCCACCACCAGCCCUGCCUGGAGUUGUGGGGGCUCGUCUGCAGCAGGGUGGGGCAGGGGCAAAGGUUCAGGAGAAGGUAGGAGCUGGAUUCUGGGGUUCUGGCUGUGGGGAGUCGGAGGUGCCCACAGACACGCAGGGCAGAUGCUGUUGGACAGGGAAGUGGCUGAGCCUGGCCGUGGAUGGCAGGCGGGGACUAGAGACAAAACCGGGAGCUGGCUGCAGGGACAGCUGAGGCCCGUGGGGGGAAGGAGAGCGCAUCCUAGCAAGUGGACUUCGAGUGCUGGGGUAGGUGUUGAGCCACACAAGCCUUUCCAGGGGGAGUAGGGGCUCUGGACCCAGACGGCACUGAUGGUGAGCAGGACAGACUGUGGAGGUACCCAUGGGGGACACAGGUGACCUGAACCUGAGUAGUUUUCACUACCAUCAUAGGUAUAAAGAUCCGAGAUGAAGGCCAAGAGGUAAAGCUGGGGAAAGCAACUGGGGACAUAACCUGUGAGGAAUUCUAGGGUUAUAGAGAGCAGAAAAAUGAGCUGAAGCUAGUGUGGUAGGGGUGGAGGGCAAUGGCAGUCGAACGAGGGUGUUUUUAAUGUUGGAAGAUACUACAUCCUCAGAAACUUAAACACAGGGUUGCCAUCUGACCCAGCAGUUCCGCUCCUAGGUAGGAACUGAAAACCAGUGUUCACACAAGCAUGACUGUUCACAGCAGCACUACUCACAAUAGCCAAAGGUAGACACAGCCCAAACACCCACCAACCGCUGAAGGACACAAAAACUGUGGUAGAUCCAUCAAUGGAAUGUCAUUCAGCCAUAAAACGAAUCAAGUCCCAAUCCAAGACACGGAUGAGCCUCAGAAACAGUUUGCUAAGUGCACGAAGCCAGACAGAGAAGGCAGCAUGCUGUAUGAUUCUACGUGUAUGAGUGUCCAGAGUCAGUACACACGCAGAGAGAGACAGUAGACCCGUGGUCACCAGGGCUGGGAGGCUGGAGAGCAAGUUCAUGGGCAUGGAGCUUCCUCUUGCCAUGAGAAUGUUUUGCAACAAGAUGAGAUACUAGUUGCACAACAGUGUGAAGGUACCAGGUGCCACUGAAUGGCUCACUUUAAACGGUUGACUUUAGGUCAUGUGAAUUCUACUUCAAAAAAAAAAAUUGUCAGGCUUUUAGUUGGGCUCAAGUCUCUUUCGUGUGACUCUUCAAAAACAGAGGCAGGCCUAACUCCUCACACCCACUCAGUGGGGCCACGGCCACGGACCAGAGAGUGGGAAAGAAACACUCACUGUCGUAAGAAAGGAAGAAACAGUACCAGAACUCUGCAUGGACGCCCGGCCACCCACAAGGCCCUCUCACUCAUGCUGCUCCAGCCACGCUGGUCCUCGAACCUGGUAAGCAUCAGCCACCUUUGGCCUCUCUCUGGGCCCCCUUCCCUCAGAUAUCCUCCUGGCCCCUCCCUGACUCCAGGAAGGUCCUGAUCAGAUGUCCCCCUCCUUCUCAUAUGUUCCAUGGCCCAUGCUCAGUUGCCCAUGGACUUGUGAGGGCAGGACCUUGGCAUCUAAGACUCUUUUCCAUGACUAUUUUUAAGAGAAGUUUUAGGUUCACAAUAAAAUUGAGCAGAAGGUACAGAGAUUUCCCCCAUACACCCCGUGUACCCACACAUGCACAGUUUCCCCAUUACUCACUCACCAGAGUGGGGCAUUUGUUAUAACUGAGGAACUUCCGCCGACACAUCAUAAUCAUCUAAAGUCCACAGUUUACCUAAGGCUAACUUCUGCCACUGUCCUUUCUGCGGGUUUGGACCAUGUAUAAUGGCUUGUAUCCAUCAUCAUGGUAUCAUACGGAAUAGUUUCACUGUCCGAAAAAUCCUCUGCCCUCUGCCUAUUCAUCUCCCUUCUCUACUCAGGAGAAGACAACCACUGACCUUUUUACUGUCCCCAUGCUUUUGCCUUUUCCAGAAUGUCACGUAGUUGGAACCAUACAGCACAUAGCUUUUUUCAGACUGCCUUCUUUCACUCAGGAAUCUGCACUUAAAGUUCCUCCGUAGACAUGGCUUGAGAGCUAAUUUCUUUUUAUUGCUGAGUAGACAUGGCUUGAGAGCUAAUUUCUUUUUAUUGCUGAAUAAUAUUCCAUUGUCUGGGUGGACCAGACUUGAUUUAUCCAUUCGCCUACUGAAGAACAUCUUGGUCGCUUCCAAGUUUUG